UCUCCGUUGGUGAACCAGCGGAGGGAUCAUUACCGAGUUUACAACUCCCAAACCCUAUGUGAAACUUACCUUUGGUCGCUUCGGCGGGAUCGCCCUGGCGCUUCCCGGCGCCGGACCGCACUGCCCGCCGCAGGCCCAACACUCCUGUUUAUUUAUGUUUCCUCUCCGAGUGGCACAAGCAUAAUAAAUCAAAACUUUCAACAACGGAACUCUUGGUUCUG
rnacentral:misc_RNA from 1 species